UACGAAGGGGGCUAGCGUUGCUCGGAAUCACUGGGCGUAAGGGGUGCGUAGGCGGGUCUUUAAGUCAGGGGUGAAAUCCUGGAGCUCAACUCCAGAACUGCCUUUGAUACUGAAGAUCUUGAGUUCGGGAGAGGUGAGUGGAACUGCGAGUGUAGAGGUGAAAUUCGUAGAUAUUCGCAAGAACACCAGUGGCGAAGGCGGCUCACUGGCCCGAUACUGACGCUGAGGCACGAAAGCGUGGGGAGCAAACAGG
rnacentral:rRNA from 1 species